UACGGGGGGAGCAAGCGUUGUUCGGAUUUACUGGGCGUAAAGGGCGCGUAGGCGGCCCGCGCAAGCGUGCGGUGAAAGCCCGGGGCUCAACCCCGGGUCGGCCGUGCGGACUGCGGGGCUCGAGCACUGUAGGGGCAGAUGGAAUUCCGGGUGUAGCGGUGGAAUGCGUAGAGAUCCGGAAGAACACCGGUGGCGAAGGCGGUCUGCUGGGCAGUAGCUGACGCUGAGGCGCGACAGCGUGGGGAGCAAACAGG
rnacentral:rRNA from 1 species